GACGAACGCUGGCGGCGUGCUUAAUACAUGCAAGUCGAGCGAAAAGACGCGGCUUUCGCUCUUCUGACGUUAGCGACGGAUGGGUGAGUAACACGUGGAUAACCUCCUUCUAUGACUGAGAUCUCUUCGGGAAACUGGAGUUAUUACUGGGUCAUAUCUUGAACUGCAUGGUUCAAUAGUGAAGUAUGGUUUUGCUAUCACCUCUCGACCUAUCCGCGUCGCAGUAGGUAGUUGGGAAGGUAACGGCUUACCAAGGCAACGGUGCGUAGCCGGCCUGAGCGGGUGAUCGGCCGCAGUGGGACUGCGGCACGAUCGAGACUCCUACAGGAGGCAGCAGUCGGGGGGCUUCCGCAGUGGGGGAUAUCUUGCCGGAGCAGCGCGGCGGAAGUGAUGAAGGUCUGCGGAGCGUAAAGCUCUGUUAUUAGGAAAGAACAAUUGUGUAAGUAGCUGUGCACGUCUUGACGGUACCUAAUCAGAAAGCCACGGCCAACUACGUG
rnacentral:rRNA from 1 species